rnacentral:rRNA from 1 species
UACGAACCGUGCAAACGUUGUUCGGAUUCACUGGGCUUAAAGGGCGCGUAGGCGGGCGGUCAAGUCAGGGGUGAAAUCUUUCAGCUCAACUGGAAAACAGCUUCUGAUACUGGCCGUCUUGAGGGAGGUAGGGGCAUGUGGAACUUCCGGUGGAGCGGUGAAAUGCGUAGAUAUCGGAAGGAACGCCGGUGGCGAAAGCGACGUGCUGGACCUUUUCUGACGCUGAGGCGCGAAAGCCAGGGGAGCAAACGGG